AGGAGGGAGCGUGUUUUCUCGAAACAGACGCAGCCAAAGCGUAAAAGCAUCGGUAAAUAACAUAAGCAAGAGGAUGAAUAUGGAGCACGAAGUUUCCAAACUCAAGAAAUAGGAUUGUUUUUCCCCGUUCAUCGUUAACGAGGACGGUGAGGAGGAGGAGGAGGCCAGCUACGAGCAAGUAGACUCCCCCAACCGAUUAUGGGGUGCCAGUUACUGGAGGAAGUGGAACAUCCCAGCUGCUGACGUGCUGAUGAAUGUUUUUGUGUGUGCGUUUGACUCAGGAAGGACACACAUCAAAAGGGGACAGGAGCGCUGUGCACGAUUGUCAUGGCAACAACGGUGGGAAGACAAGAUGGAGGAGUCAUUGCUGGCCUGGCCUCCUUUACAGGAGAAGAUCCUGUGUGUGAAAACACCAGAUGUUAUCUUUAACAUUUUAUUGGAAAAUAUAAAGGUUUUUAACAGGUACAUGUUCGCACAUGCAACUACUGACAGGGUGUAAAGAAAUAUAUUUUUCCUUGCAAAAUGUGUGCAGCGUUAUUAGAUACAGCCAUUUUAGUGUUGUCAAAAAUAUUUAAAUAUCUAUAUAUAUCAAUUCUGAAUAUUUGAAACAGUUUCAGUACCACCAAUACACCGGUACCAACUGUGCUUUCCAGCUCUCUCUUAUUGUUAAUGUUUACUACAGUCAUUCUGCUGUUCUCUGCUACUAACCAAGAAAAGAAAAGUUGUCGCUGCCUUGUUAUAUUUUGUACAGUAUGUAUGCCCAAAAUGUCAAGUAUUCCCUGUCAAAUCAAAAUGGUAUUGAAUAUUGAUAUUUUUCCAAGUAUCAUAAGUUAGAAAUUUCAGUAUCGUGACAACACUACAAUGUUUAAAUAUCUCCUUGUCAUUAUAAGGACAUCCCAAACAAAUUUAAUGUCAGCUUGUCAUGACAAAGACAACUUCUGGUAAUGUCACUUUGAUUAAUGUCAAGUUGUCAUAAUCAAGACAACCCAACCAAUGUCAACUUGUCAAUACGAAAACCGAAUGACACUUAAUGACAGCAGUCAUAAAGGUUCAUGACAUGUACAUACUGUUUAUGACAAGUUCAUGACAGUGUCAUGUCAUUGUUAUGACAGUGUCAUGUCACCCUUAUGU